AUUGCUUCUCAGCCUUUUGGCUAACAUCAAGUGUAGUAUCUGUUCUUACCAGUUUAAUAUUUGAUAUAUUCUCUUUCCAAGGACACUGUAAUAAAUGGAUUUUUGGAGCAGGGAGUUAGAAGAGGAGCUUGCUCCUCACUCCACGCAUUGGCCUGGUAUUGCAGUACCUCUAGGAAUGGUGCAUUCCCU